AGUGAACGCUGGCGGUAGGCCUAACACAUGCAAGUCGAACGGCAGCACAGUAAGAGCUUGCUCUUACGGGUGGCGAGUGGCGGACGGGUGAGGAAUACAUCGGAAUCUACUUUUUCGUGGGGGAUAACGUAGGGAAACUUACGCUAAUACCGCAUACGACCUACGGGUGAAAGCAGGGGAUCUUCGGACCUUGCGCGAUUGAAUGAGCCGAUGUCGGAUUAGCUAGUUGGCGGGGUAAAGGCCCACCAAGGCGACGAUUCGUAGCUGGUCUGAGAGGAUGAUCAGCGACACUGGAACUGAGACACGGUCCAGACUCCUACGGGAGGCAGCAGUGGGGAAUAUUGGACAAUGGGCGCAAGCCUGAUCCAGCCAUACCGCGUGGGUGAAGAAGGUCUUCGGGUUGUAAAGCCCUUUUGUUGGGAAAGAAAAGCAGCAGGUUAAUACCCCGCUGUUCUGACGGUACCCAAAGAAUAAGCACCGGCUAACUUCGUG
rnacentral:rRNA from 1 species